UCUCUCGGCCAACGGAUAUCUCGGCUCACGCAUCGAUGAAGAACGUAGCAAAAUGCGAUACUUGGUGUGAAUUGCAGAAUCCCGUGAACCAUCGAGUUUUUGAACGCAAGUUGCGCCCGAAGCCUUUUGGCUGAGGGCACGUCUGCCUGGGCGUCACAC
rnacentral:rRNA from 2 species